rnacentral:tRNA from 2 species
GGUAAAGUGGCCGAGAAGGUGGUGGGUUGUAGCCCCAAAGACAAAGGUUUGAGUCCUUUCUUUACCA